AUAGGCACGGAGUGGAUGCCUUUACACCAGCUUAUAGGACGUGUAAAUACGAAAGGCUGUCUUGUUGGUUAUAUCCUAGGCAGAUCUCCUACAGGAAACAAAGAAUUUAAAAAAAGCUGAAAGGGGAAACCUCCUUUAUCAGUCAGAAAAACCAACAGGGAGACCGAGAGUAGUGGCGAACGAAAUUGGUUUUAUUUUUCUUUUUUCUCAAUGGCGCCUUGGUGCGUUUGUGUUUGGCUUUAGAAUUCUCAAAAAGGGGGUAUUUUUUCUAAUCCUUUGGAAAAU
rnacentral:rRNA from 1 species